rnacentral:rRNA from 1 species
AUGGACGUUCCUGUUGCCUCUGGUCCUGCAACUUCUGCGACUGAUAUGGACGUUGACAAGGCCCUAGGUGAUGAGGAAACCGAUGACGCGGCCACCUCCAAAGCUACUCCACGGGAUGUUAUUGAGCUUCCAUAUGAUGAAGAAGAAGUGCCUUUGAGAGAGAGAAGGAGGAGGGGCAGGGCGUCGAGCGGGAAAGCAGCCGAGGGUCAGGUGCUUCAGUCGUCAUUGGUGCUUGAGACAGUGGUCCAGCGAUCCGGAGAUCCGGCUCGGACCAAUGUUACUUUUGCUAAUCCAUUGUCGACUGACCAUCCAUCGGGGUCGACUACUCAGCCCUCUGCCACUCCAGUACAACUCCAUGCAUCCGACCGUGUGACUGCUCCGGCUGCACUGCCAUCAUCACUCUUCGCUGCAUACCAGACUCCAGACGACCCACCAAGUGCCGCCAGGGAGGCUCUUCUCCAGGUAAAUCUCGUGAUGGAGCAAAUGAAGGUGGUGCAUGAGGCCAGUCAGGUUGCUUAUAAUGCCAGCACCGCUCUGCAAGCCAACGUCAAGGUCGGUUGA